GUGCCGCCAUCAGAGGGGCCUGUCUCGCUCCCCCAGACACAGAGCCUCUGUUUUCCUCACUCCGGGUCUGGAGUCCCCUGCUUAACAGCUUGGAUUGAAGAGGCUUGUCUGGGGGGACUGAGACCUUGCAGAUCAUUCCAGGAGCCGCCUCCAUCCAAGGCCAACAGCUUCAUCAGGCCGCAGGCCUGGGAGAAGCCCUAAUAGCAAUCAGAUGGCGCAAGUGGAAAAUCACGGCGCUCGGCAAGCAAGCUGGAAAUUGGCGGGCUGUGGUGCCUGGUGCCUGCGCUGCUCAGCGGGAGGAUGAGUCAGGAGUGUAGUGCCCAGACUGGGAGAGAUGUGCCUCUGUGGGCAUCUUGAAGGGAAAUGAGAAGCGGAGCUGCCCCUGCACCUGCGCUGGGAGCUGCCUGCCUCCUGCUUGUCCUGGCCAUGUGCGAACCUCAGCGUGGAAGAGGGACUCUCGCACUGCUCCCUGCGCGGCUCAGCUGGCCUCCUGGGGGCAGCCAGCUGGGGCCCAGCUGGAACGCUUGUUUACAUGGGGAGGCCGGGGGAGGCUGAAUCCCGGCGAGUUCCAAGUGUAAUUGCGUUUGGACACUUAAAAGGAAUUGUGUGAAGUGGGCAGAGGCUCUGAAGUCCACCGCCUUAUUUGGUGCUUCUGUGGCCUAUGGUUGCCCUGCUGCUCCCUGGACGAGGGGGUGGGUGUGGACCAGCCCUCGUGGCCCCUCUGCAGCCAGCACCAUCCUCAGUAAAGACUACAGAAGCCACAAGAAACUAAUCCAUGGGGAUGGCCAGGCCUGAUUAGCUGGGGUGGGGCUGGAGGCUCCUCUACAGAGAUGAUGCUUACACUGAGACCUGAAGGAGAAGGAGGAGGUGGCUGCUCACGCAACCCACAGGAAAGUGUUCCAGGAUCAAGAACAGCAGGUGCAAAGGCCCCGUGAUGGAAAGGAUUGGUGCACUAGGAGAACAAAGUGGGUGGCUGCAGGGCAGGAGGGGAGGGUGCAUGUGCAGGCUGGGCAGGAGGGUAGGGCCUUGAGGCACCCUACAGGCCCCUGUAAGUCCAGGCACAGAGCUGCUGCCUUGAGCCCUGAGGUCUGGACAUUCCAGUUUCCCAUCUUUCCAAUGUGGGACUCUCUGCCUUUUCCAAUUCCCCACUUCCCUGAUGCCAGAUACUGCCUGACUGUGUCCAUCUCUCCCCCGUCCCCUGGGCCACCUCCCUGCUGAGACCCCUCACUGGUGCCUCCCAGGUGCAUUCUCCUCGCUGCCCCCAGCAGAGUCCUUCCCACACACCCAGCUCCUCGGUGUGGUGCCUGCCCGUGGGUGGGUGGUGCACCCCACUGGCAUCCCUCCUCUGCCCUGUCCACCUCAACUUCCAGGGCAGCCUGGACACCAGGUUUGGUCUACCUCGUCCACACCCGCCUGCUUCUGUCCCGCCUUAAGCGGAUCCGUGAUGUCCCGUCAUUAGACCUUCAAUUUCAGCACAGGACUGAAUAACUAACCUUCAAAAAGUUUGCAGUAGCCUUGUCACUCCUAAAAAUAACAAAUAAUUCCUUAAACAUCAUUCAACAUCCAAAAAAAAAAAAAAAAAAAAAAAAAAAAAAAA
rnacentral:lncRNA from 1 species